AUACGUAGGGAGCAAGCGUUGUCCGGAUUUACUGGGUGUAAAGGGUGCGUAGGCGGCUCUGCAAGUCAGGCGUGAAAACCAUGGGCUUAACCCAUUGGAUUGCGUUUGAAACUGUGGAGCUUGAGUGAAGUAGAGGUAGGCGGAAUUCCCGGUGUAGCGGUGAAAUGCGUAGAGAUCGGGAGGAACACCAGUGGCGAAGGCGGCUUACUGGGCUUUAACUGACGCUGAGGCACGAAAGCAUGGGUAGCAAACAGGAUUAGAUACCCUGGUAGUCCAUGCCGUAAACGAUGAUUACUAGGUGUGGGGGGUCUGACCCCUUCCGUGCCGGAGUUAACACAAUAAGUAAUCCACCUGGGGAGUACGGCCGCAAGGUUGAA
rnacentral:rRNA from 1 species